rnacentral:rRNA from 1 species
GACGAACGCUGGCGGCGUGCUUAACACAUGCAAGUCGAACGGUGAAAGCGGAGCUUGCUCCGCUGGAUCAGUGGCGAACGGGUGAGUAACACGUGGGCAACCUGCCCCUGACUUCGGGAUAACUCCUCGAAAGAGGUGCUAAUACCGGAUACGAAUCCUGCAGGCAUCUGCGGGAUUGGAAAGUUUUUCGGUCAGGGAUGGGCCCGCGGCCUAUCAGCUUGUUGGUGAGGUAGUGGCUCACCAAGGCGACGACGGGUAGCCGGCCUGAGAGGGCGAGCUGCCACACUGGGACUGAGACACGGCCCAGACGCCUACGGGAGGCAGCAGCGGGGAAUAUUGCUCGAUGGGCGAAAGCCUGACGCAGCAACGCCGCGUGCGGGAUGACGGCCUUCGGGUUGUAAACAUCUUUCAGCAGGGAAGAAGCGAAAGUGACGGUACCUGCAGAAGAAGCACCGGCUAACUACGUGCCAGCCGCCGCGGUAA